rnacentral:sRNA from 1 species
GAUAUUUACGUUGAAUUGUGUGGAGUUGAAGCUGAAAAUCUUAAGGAAUGUAUCUAAAAUUCACUUUGCCUUUAAUUUAUGCAUCCGUCAGCUAGAGAUCACGCAGCGGGCACCCACGAUCGGCUUAAUCAUCGCUCACUUCCAUUGGAUCAACUGGAAAUCAAGUCAGAUGAGAGUGCUGAGUCUCAGAGGAUGGACAUCUCACCCCUUGCCAUACAGAGAAGUAGAAAGGGCGGUAUUCAAAAUUCAUGGCCAGACUCGGGUACUGUAUUUCCCGGUCUUCCAACUCUCAAAAGUUGUGGGUUUUUUUGGUUUUGGUUUUGGUUUUGGUUGUUUUGAGACAGAGUCUCAUUCUGUUGCCCAGGCUGGAGUGCAGUGGAGUGAUCUCGGCUCACUGCAACCUCCGCAUCCCAGGUUCAAGCUAUUCUCCUGUCUCAACCUGCCGAGUAGCUGAGAUGACAGGCGCCCGCGACUACGCCCGGCUCAUUUUUUUCUAUUUUGAGUAGAGACGGGGUUUCACCAUGUUGGCCAGGCUGGUCUCGAACUCCUGACCUUGUGAUUCACCUGCCUCAGCCUCCCAAAGGGCUGGGAUUACAGGCGUGAGCCACCGCACCCAGCUUCCAAAAGUUUUCAGCACAGCUCAGAGUUCUGAACCACAGGCACGUCGGAGGAGCAUUUUUGAAACCCUUUCCAGCUUCCUCAAUAGGAAUGGAAGCCAAACUCCGAAUCGAUGACUCCUUUGAGAAAGUCGAGAGCUGUAAGGAAAGCCAGGAACAGGGCAAAGGGAGAGAGGCGUCCCGAAUGAUCCUGUGCCAAUUCUUUCUGGAAUCCUUGAUGUGAUCUCAGCUGCCCUUUGUAUACUUGACACAGUGAUUGUGGCACCCACUGGUCUAGCUGUGGUCUCCAAGGAACCCCCAAAGGGAAGGGCACAGUGAGCAGGGGCACUCACCUGAGUGACAAGGAUUUGAGAGGGCAGGUUGGUUGCAGGGAGAGGACUGGCCAAAUGCCAUGUGUCUGGACUUAGACUGCCCGGUUCAAAUUGGACUUCACCCUUUUUGAUUUCAUAAUCUAGUACGAGUUCUAUGAAAAGGCGUUGCUCCUUUUCUAGUCUGUAAAGUCAUCAUGAAAUGUGCACUAAUAACGUGGAGACUACGCAGAUGAAAUGAAACUGCAUAGAGCAUAGAGCUCAGAGCCUGGCCUUCAGGAAGCCCUCAAUAACUGUUCAUGAUGCCAUGGUGUCUAUCAUCAUCCUCUUUAUCCUCAUCAUCACCUUCAUAAUCUUUUUGUUGUUCGUAGGGAAUCAUUUAGAGGGACUGAUUCCCGGCUAUCAUGGGUGAGAUGUCUAUGAAAAGGACAACCAGUGGGGGAGGAAAGCAAAAUUUUGAAUAAGAUUUCUGAGACGCCCCAGCACAACCAAGAACAGAAACUCCACAGUCUGCUGAGCGGACAGUUUGCACAUUGGUCUCCUCCCAUCUGCCCACUGCACUCUCCUGUUUGUCCUGAGGAGGAGGAAGGAAAACAAGGCUCCGGACCGUCCCUCAGCACUCACUGAACUGCCCUUCCUCUCUGCUGGGCCAUGACCACGGAGAGCAGGUCCAUGUCCUCCCUGGUGGUGCACAUGGAGGCUCAGACUCCGUCCUCGAGGCUGGCAAGAAGACAGGGUGAGACAUGAGCCUCCUGAUACAGGUGAUGGGUGUGGAGCCCACAGGACUGGACCCUCACACUGCAGGGCUGGAGGCACAGACAUAUUUACUGUUUUGUGGCCUGGGGGCUCAAGGCACAGAGCUCCCAUUAGCCAAGUCCCCAAGUUCCCCACCUCUAAGGAUUUCCUCAUAAUAAUUCAAGAAGGAAGAGAACA